CAUCCUCCAAGGCUAAAUACUCCUGACUGACCGAUAGUGAACCAGUACCGUGAGGGAAAGGCGAAAAGAACCCCGGCGAGGGGAGUGAAAAAGAACCUGAAACCGUGUACGUACAAGCAGUGGGAGCACCCUUUGGGGUGUGACUGCGUACCUUUUGUAUAAUGGGUCAGCGACUUAUAUUCUGUAGCAAGGUUAACCGCAUAGGGGAGCCGGAGGGAAACCGAGUCUUAAUUGGGCGUUAAGUUGCAGGGUAUAGACCCGAAACCCGGUGAUCUAGCCAUGGGCAGGUUGAAGGUUGGGUAACACUAACUGGAGGACCGAACCGAC
rnacentral:rRNA from 1 species